UACGGGGGGGGCAAGCGUUGUUCGGAAUUAUUGGGCGUAAAGAGCUCGUAGGCGGCUUGUCACGUCGGGUGUGAAAGCCCGGGGCUUAACCCCGGGUCUGCAUUCGAUACGGGCUGGCUAGAGUGUGGUAGGGGAGAUCGGAAUUCCUGGUGUAGCGGUGAAAUGCGCAGAUAUCAGGAGGAACACCGGUGGCGAAGGCGGAUCUCUGGGCCAUUACUGACGCUGAGGAGCGAAAGCGUGGGGAGCGAACAGG
rnacentral:rRNA from 1 species